GAUGAACGCUAGCGGCAGGCUUAAUACAUGCAAGUCGUGGGGCAGCAGGUUUGUAGCAAUACAGAUGCUGGCGACCGGCAAACGGGUGCGGAACACGUACAGAACCUUCCUUUGAGCGGGGAAUAGCCCAGAGAAAUUUGGAUUAAUACCCCAUAGUAUAAUGAAGUGGCAUCACUUUAUUAUUAAAGAUUUAUCACUCGAAGAUGGCUGUGCGGCUGAUUAGGUAGUUGGCGGGGUAAAGGCCCACCAAGCCUGCGAUCAGUAACUGGUGUGAGAGCACGACCAGUCACACGGGCACUGAGACACGGGCCCGACUCCUACGGGAGGCAGCAGUAAGGAAUAUUGGUCAAUGGAGGCAACUCUGAACCAGCCAUGCCGCGUGGAGGAUGAAGGUCCUCUGGAUUGUAAACUUCUUUUUAUAUGGGACGAAAAAAGGCUUUUCUAAGUCGUCUGACGGUACCAUAUGAAUAAGCACCGGCUAACUCCGU
rnacentral:rRNA from 1 species